UACGAAGGGGGCUAGCGUUGUUCGGAAUUACUGGGCGUAAAGCGCACGUAGGCGGGUCGUUAAGUCAGGGGUGAAAUCCCGGAGCUCAACUCCGGAACUGCCUUUGAUACUGGCGGCCUCGAGGCCGGAAGAGGUUAGUGGAAUUCCCAGUGUAGAGGUGAAAUUCGUAGAUAUCGUCAAGAACACCGAUAGCGAAGGCAGCUUACUAGACUGUAACUGACGCUGAUGCACGAAAGUGUGGGGAUCAAACAGG
rnacentral:rRNA from 1 species